rnacentral:rRNA from 1 species
AGUUUGAUCAUGGCUCAGAUUGAACGCUGUGGGAUGCUUUACACAUGCAAGUCGAACGCUAGCACGGACUUCGGUCUGGUGGCGAGUGGCGAACGGGUGAGUCAUCGUGCUCGGAACGUGCCUAUUGGCGGGGGAUAACUACGCAGAAAGCGUGAACUAUUACUGCCGCCCUUCGGGGAAAGCGGGGGACCUUCGGGCCUCGCACUAUUAAACCGAUAUCAGUUAGCUAGUUAGUGGGAGUAACGGCUCACCAAGGCGACGAUCAGCUGGUUUGAGAGGACGACCAGCCACACUGGGACUGAGACACGGCCCAGACUCCUGGAAGCAGCAGUGGGGAAUUUGGACAAUGGGGAAACCCUGAUCCAGCCAUCCCGCGUGUGCGAUGAAGGCCUUCCGGGUUGUAAAGCACGGCGGGGAAAGAAACGGCGCGGGAUAAUACCCCGUGCAACUGACGCCAGUACCUGCAGAAUAAGCACCGGCCUAACGUGCCAGCAGCCGCGGUAAUACGUAGAAGUGCAAACGUUAAUCGGAAUUACUGGGCGUAAAGCGUGCGCGACGGUUCGGAAAGAAGAUGUGAAAUCCCAGGCUUAACUUUGGAACUGCAUUUUAACUACCGAGCUAGAGUGUGUCAGAGGGAGGUGGGGUAUGGGAAGAAGUACGUAGAUAUGCCGGAGAACUACCAUUGGCGAAGGCAGCCUCCUGGGAUAACACUGACGCUCAUGCACGAAAGCGUGGGGAGCAAACGAGUUAGAUACCCUGGUAGUCCACGCCUAAACGAUGUCAACUAGCUGUUGGGGCCUUCGGGCCUUGGUAGCCUUAGCCACCGGUGGUUGACCGCCUGGGGAAAUUACGGUCGCAAGAUUAAAACUCAAAGGAAUUGACGGGGACCCGCACAAGCGGUGGAUGAUGUGGAUCAGGCAUUCAAUUGCAACGCGAAAAACCUUACCUACCCUGACAUGUCUGGAAUCCCGAAGAGAUUUGGGAGUGCUCAUAAAGACCGAUUCUGGGUGCUGCAUGGCUGUCGUCAGCUCGUGUCGUGAAAUGAUGGGUUAAGUCCCGCAACGAGCGCAACCCUUGUCAUUAGUUGCUACGAAGGGCACUCUAAUGAGACUGCCGGUGAUGAACCCGGAGGGAAGGUGGGAUGACGUCAAGUCCUCAUCGGCCCUUAUGGGUAAGGGCUUCACACGUCAUACAAUGGUCGGGACAGAGGGUCGCCAGCCCGCGAGGAGCCAAUCCGGGAACCCGAUCGUAGUCCGGAUCGCAGUCUGCAACUCGACUGCGUGAAGUCGGAAUCACUAUUGUAUCGCGGAUCAGCAUGUCGCGGUGAAUACGUUCCCGGGUCCUGUACACACCGCCCGUCACACCAUGGGAGUGGGUUUUACCAAUCGUUCGCUAACCGUAAGGAGGGCGAUUACCACGGUAGGAUUCAUGACUGGGGUGAAGUCGUAACAAGGUAG